GGGACUUCUAGGUGCUCGACGUAGAUUUUUUAUCCUAGAUCGAUAAAGUUUGAAGUUGCUAGAUGGAUGAGUGCAUCAGCUUGGGCAUUCUCUGAUCUUGGUAUUCUUUGGACAUCUAUCUUUUUGAAGCUCUGGAAAAGAUCUUUAUCUUUUGAAGGUAUUUGAACGUUGUAAGAUCCUUGACCUCAUAUUCAUCUUGUACCUAACUCAUAAUGAGUUGAGAGUAAGAGAAUACAUUGAGUUCAUCGACGUCGAGCUCUUUGAUUAUCCUCAGUCCUGUAAGGAGUGCUUCAUACUCAACCAUAUUAUUUGUGGUGCUGAAGUUGAAUCUCAAUGCAUACUUGGAGAUGACUCCAUUGAGUUUGGUCAUGAUUAGACCUACAUCACUUUCCUGAGAAUUCAAAGCUCCAUUUACAUGCACUAUCCACCAGUUGUCUUUUGUACUAAUCUUUAAUCUGCAAAUAUUUGAGCUUUACUUCUCUUCAAAAAUUAUGCAUUUAAUAAUGAAAUCUAUCAGUACUUAUGCUUUUAUUGCGAUAUGAGGUCGAUACUCGAUGUCGAACUCUUUGAGCUCAAUCAUCCAUUUUGCCAGACGGCCAAAUAUAUUUGACCUCCGAAGUAUGCUCUCAAUGGC
rnacentral:lncRNA from 1 species